UGCCCGAGGAACCCAAUGUGACUGGGAGUAAACCCUGCAGUUUCUGUGCUUCGGUCCGGGCAGCCUGGCCUAGCAGCUUCCUCUCAUUGGCUGAGCCUCAUGAGGCGAUGUGGCAGCAGGGCCCCGCCUUCCACUGGCUGCCAGGAGAUGGGCGCAAGGCCAAGUCUCACGGCUGGCGAUUGGGGAGCCCCGAGCAGCCUGCUCAGCCUGUGACAAGAGAUGAAAGGACCAAGGGAAAUAUGCCAGAAGAUUCGUCUUCUGCUACCUCGAAGGAGCCUCUUCCACUCACCAGGGCAUGAGGCGGCCUAGGCGGGUCCAAGAAGAUUUGCUAAUGCAGAAGCCCACCAGAGGAUCAGUGAAGGCAUCCCAGGCUCGACCCACGAACAGGAUGAUGGAAGCAGGGAAAGGGUUCACCUGGAAGGGGGAAGAGGGAAAGAGACAACUCCGUCAUUCUUUGAUUCGCCUCAGUCCUAACUGCAAAACAGGGACUCCCUCCCUGCCUCAGCCAGGCCUUAAGCCCCUAUGCUGCUCCCAUAUGCACCUUCAACAUCUUCAUUUUCCUUAUUAAUAAUGACAAUAGUGGACCUGGGGGUAUAACUCAAUGGUAGAUUACUUGCCUAGCAUGUGUGAAGCCCUGGGUUCCAUCCCCAGGGGAAAAAAAUGACAAUAGCAUUUCUCUGAUAACAGUAGCUCUGUGUACUCCCUUAGAAGCUUUCCUGGAUCUAUUUCCUCCCCUUUGCUGCCCUUGAAAAUACUCCUAUCAAGUAGAAUGAAUCCAAAAUCAUUUCCUUCCCUCCCUUUCACAUCCCUGAGACUCUGACCACCUGAAAUCAGAAUUAACAUUCACUGGGUAUACACA